GAUGAACGCUGGCGGCGUGCCUAAUACAUGCAAGUCGAGCGAACAGACGAGGAGCUUGCUCCUCUGACGUUAGCGGCGGACGGGCGAGUAACACGUGGAUAACCUACCUAUAAGACUGGGAUAACUUCGGGAACCGGAGCUAACACCGGACAAUAUAUUGAACCGCAUGGAUCAAUAGUGAAAGACGGCUUUGCUGUCAUUUAUAGAUGGAUCCGCGCCGCAUUAGCUAGUUGGUAAGGUAACGGCUUACCAAGGCAACGAUGCGUAGCCGACCUGAGAGGGUGAUCGGCCACACUGGAACUGAGACACGGUCCAGACUCCUACGGGAGGCAGCAGUAGGGAAUCUUCGGCAAUGGGCGAAAGCUUGACGGAGCAACACCGCGUGAGUGAUGAAGGUCUUCGGAUCGUAAAGCUCUGUUGUUAGGAAAGAACAAAUGUGUGAGUAACUCUGCACGUCUUGACGGUACCUAAUCAAAAAGCCACGGCUAACUACGUG
rnacentral:rRNA from 1 species